GAUGAACGCUGGCGGCGUGCCUAACACAUGCAAGUCGAGCGAACAGACGAGGAGUUUGUUCCUCUCUCGUGAGCGGCGGACGGGUGAGACACACGUGGAUAAUCUCCCUAUAUUACUGGGAUAACUUCGGGAAAGCGGAGCUUACACCGGAUAAUCUAUUGAACCGCAUGGUUGAAUAGUGAAAGUCGGUUUUGCUGUCACUUAUAGAUGGAUCCGCGCCGCAUUAGCUAGUUGGUAAGGUAACGGCUUACCAAGGCAACGAUGCGUAGACGACCUGAGAGGGUGGUAGGCCACACUGGAGCUGAGACACGGUCCAGACUCCUACGGGAGGCAGCAGUAGGGAAUGUGCGGCAGUGGGCGAAAGCCUGACGGAACGACGCCGAGUGUGUGAUGAAGGUCUUCGGUUCGUAAAGCUCUGUUAUUAGGGAAGAACAAAUGUGGACGUAAAUAUGCACGUCUUGACGGUACCUAAUCAGAAAGCAACGGCUAACUACGUG
rnacentral:rRNA from 1 species